rnacentral:lncRNA from 1 species
CGAUGUAUAACUUAUUGAACAUUCAAGUACAGUACUGACGACAGUUUAUGCUUUACAAAGACACCGCACUGCACGGUUCUUGGCUUGAAACUAAAAGAUAACAAAAGAACUUCAACAUCAUAGUGAAAAUAGGAUAACCCCUCAAAGAGAACUUCAUCAUGCUGCUGCCGUCCUAGUCUCAAGACCCUUGGUAGUGGUGGUGGUAGUAGUAGUAGUAUCAUGUGGCUUAGAAAUAUCAUAUUGUUUAGCGUCAUGGGCUUUAUCCUGUACGAACUGACCCACUUCUUUACCCUUCUGUCCAGCGUAG